rnacentral:rRNA from 1 species
AUUGAACGCUGGCGGCAGGCCUAACACAUGCAAGUCGGACGGUAGCACAGAGGAGCUUGCUCCUCGGGUGACGAGUGGCGGACGGGUGAGUAACGUCUGGGAAACUGCCCGAUGGAGGGGGAUAACUACUGGAAACGGUAGCUAAUACCGCAUAACGUCGCAAGACCAAAGUGGGGGACCUUCGGGCCUCACACCAUCGGAUGUGCCCAGAUGGGAUUAGCUAGUAGGUGGGGUAAUGGCUCACCUAGGCGACGAUCCCUAGCUGGUCUGAGAGGAUGACCAGCCACACUGGAACUGAGACACGGUCCAGACUCCGACGGGAGGCAGCAGUGGGGAAUAUUGCACAAUGGGCGCAAGCCUGAUGCAGCCAUGCCGCGUGUAUGAAGAAGGCCUUCGGGUUGUAAAGUACUUUCAGCGGGGAGGAAGGCGGUGAAGUUAAUAACUUCACCGAUUGACGUUACCCGCAGAAGAAGCACCGGCUAACUCCGUGCCAGCAGCCGCAGUAA